rnacentral:rRNA from 1 species
CCUACGGGUGGCAGCAGUGGGGAAUAUUGCACAAUGGAGGGAACUCUGAUGCAGCGACGCCGCGUGAGUGAAGAAGUAAUUCGUUAUGUAAAGCUCUAUCAGCAGGGAAGAAAGUGACGGUACCUGAAGAAAAAGCAUCGGCUAACUCCGUGCCAGCAGCCGCGGUAAUACGGAGGAUGCGAGCGUUAUCCGGAUUUAUUGGGUUUAAGGGGUGCGUAGGCGGACUGUUAAGUCAGCGGUAAAAGCCCGGGGCUCAACCCCGGCGAGCCGUUGAAACUGGCUGUCUUGAGAUGUCGAGAGGUAUGCGGAAUGCGCAGUGUAGCGGUGAAAUGCUUAGAUAUUGCGCAGAACUCCGAUUGCGAAGGCAGCAUACCGGCGGCGAUCUGACGCUGAGGCACGAAAGCGUGGGUAUCGAACAGGAUUAGAUACCCCUGUAGUC